AGUGAACGCUGGCGGUAGGCCUAACACAUGCAAGUCGAACGGCAGCACAGUAAGAGCUUGCUCUUACGGGUGGCGAGUGGCGGACGAGUGAGGAAUACAUCGGAAUCUACUUUUUCGUGGGGGAUAACGUAGGGAAACUUACGCUAAUACCGCAUACGACCUACGGGUGAAAGCAGGGGAUCUUCGGACCUUGCGCGAUUGAAUGAGCCGAUGUCGGAUUAGCUAGUUGGCGGGGUAAAGGCCCACCAAGGCGACGAUCCGUAGCUGGUCUGAGAGGAUGAUCAGCCACACUGGAACUGAGACACGGUCCAGACUCCUACGGGAGGCAGCAGUGGGGAAUAUUGGACAAUGGGCGCAAGCCUGAUCCAGCCAUACCGCGUGGGUGAGGAAGGCCUUCGGGUUGUAAAGCCCUUUUGUUGGGAAAGAAAAGCAGCAGGUUAAUACCCCGCUGUUCUGACGGUACCCAAAGAAUAAGCACCGGCUAACUUCGUG
rnacentral:rRNA from 1 species